GACAGAGGGUGCAAACGUUGUUCGGAAUUACUGGGCGUAAAGCGCGUGUAGGUGGCGAGGCAAGUCGGGUGUGAAAGCCCUGGGCUCAACCCAGGAAGUGCACUCGAUACUGCCUAGCUAGAGUCCCGGAGAGGUUGGUGGAGCUCUCGGUGUAGAGGUGAAAUUCGUAGAUAUCGAGAAGAACACCGGUGGCGAAGGCGGCCAACUGGACGGUGACUGACACUGAGACGCGAAAGCGUGGGGAGCAAACAGG
rnacentral:rRNA from 1 species